rnacentral:snoRNA from 1 species
GCAUCUGUGUCAUGGUGACUUCAGAUGUUUUUUCCCCACCAGAUUGGCAAUGCUGAUGCAAACUUCUGUUUUAGCCAGAUUGUCUGAGUCCACAGAUGC